rnacentral:rRNA from 1 species
GACGAACCGUGCGAACGUUGUUCGGAAUCACUGGGCUUAAAGGGCGCGUAGGCGGGCUGGCAAGUCCGGGGUGAAAUCCGUCGGCUCAACCGGCGGAUGGCCCUGGAUACUGCCGGCCUCGAGGCGGGUAGGGGCGUGCGGAACUAUGGGUGGAGCGGUGAAAUGCGUUGAUAUCCAUAGGAACUCCGGUGGCGAAGGCGGCACGCUGGACCCGAUCUGACGCUGAGGCGCGAAAGCGUGGGGAGCAAACAGG